rnacentral:rRNA from 1 species
UUGAAAGGGAAACGAUUGAAGUCAGUCGUACCAGCGGGAAAUCAACCUUUCGAGUGGGGGUUUUGGAGUUUUUUGAAGAGUGUCAAAACCUUUGAGAUUUCAAAAUAUUCGCUCUUUUGGUGUACUUUCUCGUGGGUAGGUUAACAUCGAUUUUGAUCAUCAUAAAAAGAUUGGAGGAAUGUAGCUUCGAUCUUGUAUUGAAGUGUUAUAGCCUUUGGUAAAUGUGAUGAUUAGGAUCGAGGAUUGCAACGAAUACCCUUCUGGGCUAUCCGCCUGAUCUCUGAUACGUGGCCUUGGCAUCGAAAGCUUGCUUAUGGUAUUGAGGUAUUACGGUCAAAAGGUUAGAACGGAUUACAUUCGUUAAGGAUGUUGACGUA